rnacentral:rRNA from 1 species
CUUGGUGGCUGUGAGCGGCGGGGUCACACCUGAUCCCAUCCCGAACUCAGUAGUUAAGCCCGCCAGCGCUGAUGAUAGCCGCAAGGCAAAAGUAGGCCGCCGCCAGGA